rnacentral:tRNA from 1 species
GCCACCGUGGUCUAGCGGUUAGAACGCUGGCCUUGUAAUCCUGGGGUCUCGGGUUCGAUUCCCGGCGGUGCCC